rnacentral:lncRNA from 1 species
CAAUUCAAGGAAUUUAUAUUAUAUCUCUGUACGUGAAAGAAGUAAAAACAAUAAUAGAUAUAUCAAUGACAUUCAAAUUUGAAAUGAAAGUGUAGAUUGUACAAAUACCUUGUAAACCGGACCAAACCCUCCUUCUCCAAUCUUAUAGGCAAUAUCAAAGUUGUUAGUCGCUGCUUUGAUUUGCCGUAACGUAAAUAGCCCAGGUUGGAAAUCUAAACCCUUUAGCUCUGUUGAUUGAAGUAAAAAAGAAUAUAUAAAUAAAAUCAGAGAUAUUUUUUUGAGUAACUUCCACAUCAAUACUUUUAGCAAGUACAAAUCUAGACACAAUGGCAGCCUUGAGCUCUAUAUUUUUAUAAAAUCAAAUUCAGCUUAUUAUGCUUAUAAAAGAAUUUCCGAAAGUUAAUUUUCAGGGUCUUACCUCUUUCUAACGGACCCAUAUGUUGUCGACAUCUUCUCCACCAAUAUAUACCAAAUACUAGUAAGAUAACUAGUCCUCCAGCAACAACAAUCACAGCAAUUUCCCAAACAGGUAUGCUACUGCCUUUUUCCACCGGCGGUGUAAAGUCUGUUUAAUUAUGAUAUAAUAUAAAAGGUUGUCAUAUAGACCAUAUUAGAGGAUGAUGGAAUAAGAAGAACCAUGAAGAACUAUAACUGACCAGGAUCAACCGAUAUAGCCGAUAUAAGAGGACCAUGUACUGAAUCAAAUGGGAUACCGGUUGUCCCUUUCCCCGCCCAAUGAAGGCGAAUCUCCAACGUAUUACUAGUCACAUUAGCAGUGAACUUCUUUAUGAUUGCCUUACCAACUCCACCGGCUUCUUUUGCAAUAUUGAAAUCCUUCAGCACCAACCUUCCCUGCAAAAUGGUUUAUAACGGUCAAAGGAAACUUGUUCAAUACUAAACAUGUUGCUGAAAAACAUAAGAUGAUGAGAUCAUGCACCUGAAUAUAUAUGUCAAAUAUACGUCUUCCAAGGCUGUUAUAUGUUUGAUCAUCCGUAAACAUUAUCUCCGCAAAAUGGAGAUUUACAGUGUAGUUUCCAUUUCCCAGACAAAAGCCAUAAUAUGUUAGAGAAAGCGGCGAAACCCGUGCAUCCAUAUACAGUUCGGCAUUUUCCAUGGCAAGGUUAGUUUUGUUAGACCAGGUAUAGUAGUCCGCAAGGCUAUCGAAGAAGUGACCAGUGUUGCUAAGGGCCCAGUUUGAUCCAGUUCGCUGAAAGCUUGCUGGUCCAACUUGACUUGAAUCAUCAUCAUAUGUCAAACUUUCAUUCGAAGUUAUUUUCUUACCACCACAAUUUAUACGGAGAGAGUACGAAGCUGGAAUGGUCAAAAGAAAAAAAAUGCGAAGUACAAUAAGAUGAUCGUAUUAUAAAUAAAAAUUGUAAGAUUAGAACCUAGAACAACAACCUUGAUUCGAAAGAAAACAAAUAUGAAAAACACAAAAAGAGAAUACUAGGAUUUAUUGUAGAAAUAAGCUCAAAUAAGCAUUUGUAAGCUCAAAUAAGCCAAUUCAAACAGGCCCUAAGUAGAAAUUAUUAAGUUAAAAGCACCAGCAGGUAUCCUACAAUCUAAAGGAAAACCACGACAAAUCAACUUACUUUUAGGACAGCUGAAGUUCCCCAAACAUGAAACCCUUCCCCUAAGAAAUAAUGGUGUGUAACAUAUCAGCAUAAUCACAUUAUAAAAUAAUUUAUUAUGACUCAUGAGUAGUACAAAACUUACAAGUUAUUUCGCUUUGAAGAUGAUGCAAAUAAGUUCCUGCGGCACAUGGUAAACAGCAAAAGAUUAGAUAGUUUCUUAAAAUUGUUGAAACAAAAAAAGUAUGAAAAAACAAGGAUUCUUACACGGUUCCCUGUUGACAUGUCAACUGCUCUGGAUUUUCAAUGCUCAAAUUGUUAUACGAAAGAUCUCUGCAUGUGUCAAAUUAUGCAUGUGAUUCAGAAAUAAAGAUGUAACAAAGAACUAUAUGUAACACUUUUUGGUAUAGAAAUUUCGAAAACUAGUUGUACAAAAAUUUAGCAUGCAGAAGUAAUAAUUAACCUCAAUAAAUUAAAUAAGCAGCGUUUGAAGGAUUACUCACGUGUAGUCUGGUCUAGCAAUCCAAUUUGGAAGCGGUCCAGUAAAAAGGUUUCCAGUUAAGUAUCUAAGUAAAAAAAUAAGAUAAGAUUAAUGAAGACUAGAUUAAAGUUUAAGGAUAUCAAGAAACAACUUGCCCCAAUGUUCUACGCUUUCUCCUUAUUUCCAUUUAUAGAUUUACCUGUUUUUCUAAUCAUUCUCAAUUUAGAUUUUCAGCGAGAGGCCGCGACGUGAUUAUCUCAUGGUGAUAUAUAAAUUUAUUGGUCUGAAGUUUAAGAACAAAAAUAAAUAAAAUAUAUGCACAUAGACAUAGUUCUAGAUUGCAGUUCGCAACUGCAAUAGGGUUUUAGAGGUUUCUGCAACGGCAUCAAACUGCAAUUGUGGCCGUAUUUGCCUGCACUGUUGCAGUGUAAUUGCAUUUUAGAACCAUGCAUGCACAUGGACUUGAAAUGGAUAAAUAUUUAUGAGAGAAAUGAAUCAGAUUCACGAUUUUCCACUUGCGUCUCUAUCUAAAAUCCAAUCUAUUAAUAAUCUCGUUGCUUCGUUGCAAACAAUUCUAACCUUGUCUUCAUAAGUUUAAAUCACACUUUCUUUCAGGUAUCUUUAAGAAUUCAAUUUGGUGUAUACAAGUAACUCAGAGGAUAUUGCUUACAGCAUAUUUAUGUUCUUCAGGCCACCCAAGGUGAUCGGAAUCGGUCCAGUUAAUUUGUUAAAACUGAGAUCUCUGAAAAAGAAAUUAUGCUCAGAAUAAAUAUUAUUCGACAAGAAAAAUGUUUUAGUCCCGAUAACAUAACAAAAGAAGCAUCUUGUUUUUCACCAAAAUUUGAGUACUGAUUGCAUCUAUUGUAACUGGUUCUAACGCAUGUGAAUAAUGCAAGAAACUUCCUAGUAUUACUUACAAAGAUUUUAAAGUAGUAAUAUGUCCAAGAUAGUCGGGAACUUCUCCUAUAAGAUUGCAACUCCUCAGCACUCUGUCAAAAAAAUUGAUACUAUGUAAAUUUUUAAGUGCAAUGCACUUAUGCUAAUAAUCCAAGCAAUUCCCUUACAAUGUUUGAAUAUUUGUCAAGCCAAUAAGUUGCGGAAAAGGAGAAUCUGAUCCUUUCAAGUCGCUUAUUCUCCUGCAUAACAUUUAUUAAUCACUGUAAAACUCAAUAAGAGAAAAAUUGAAUUUUAAAUCCUUGACCAAAAUCUAUAAAGCACUAACACAAAUACCGAACACGAUACUGACGUUGACAUACAUGUAGUGUGUCGGACACUAGACUCACAUUCAAUUUAAAUGUCGGUGUUAAAGAUCACAAGAAAAUACAUCAUACUUACAAGCCAUUGAGGUUUUUCAGAUAUGAAAUUCCAGAAGGAAUUGGACCACUCAAACCACUCCCUUGCAUCACCCUGUCAAAAUUAAAAGUUAUUAUUUUGACAAACCAGCUUAACUAAGAAAAAAAAUUAUGAUUUAGAAUUUCGNGAUCGAUUUUGAGCAACCUGGGGGAAGUGGAUCAAGUACACCGCAACCAUACUCGACCGGGGUGUUACCAGCUUUUGCAAAUCAUGUGCGUGCUAGAUCCGAGUUGCGUCAUCCAGAUGUUCGUCACGAACUGCAAGUAGAUCUAGUGAAGCACAUAUGGACAAAGUUUGGAAUGUAUCAUGAUUGAAGAUGAUUUCUAUCGUACUAAAUAAAUUAUUUGUGUGUUGUAUUUCAUUUUAAGUUAUUUGUGUGCCGCGUGUUUAGUUUGUUGUAUUGCAUUUUAAGUUAAGAAAAUAAAAAUAAAUUAUUUUGCAAAAUUUUGUUUUUUUCAAAAAACCUAAAAAAUAAAUAGUUAAUUGUAUUAUUUUAAUUUAAUUAUAAUCGAUAAUUUUAUGUAACUAUAAAAACAAAAAUUAAAUAAGAAUAAGAAAUACAAAGUGGUGGGGUAGAGUGUUGAAUGAAAAACCAUUGGAGAGGGUAAAAGUUGAAUGAGUAUUGAAUAAGAGAGAGAAAAUGAUGUGGAGUGUUGGAAAUUGAAAAAAUAGGUGUUGAAAGGGAAAAUCAUUGGACAUGGUCUUACAAUCCAUCUAAAUAAAAGUUUUUAUUUUUUUAUUUUUUUUUACAAAAACAAAACGAUAUUCAUUCAUUCAAAUCGAUAGAGUACAUCAGAUACAAACAUCACUAAAAACGUAAAGGGUGAAUUUGCGAACAAACUCACAACACCCAAUUUAACAGCAAUAUAAUAAAUUUUCUUUCUUUCAUCUCUAGUUUUCUCUCUUAAUUUCUAGAGUGUGAUCCCUACUCGAAUUGGACCAUAUCAUAAUGCUACUACAAUUAUGAUUUUUGGUACACUUUAAUUUAUGUUUAUGAAAGAUUUCCAUAUUGUAGACAAGCUCAUAAGAAUUUUAUAGACAAACCCUAUAUUAUAAUUGUCGUUUGACAACAUAAUAUUAUAAAAAUAUAGUUUUUGUGGGGAUUAUGAAAAUAUUCUUAUUACCAUUAUUCACUCAUAUAAAAAUAAGCUCAUAAGAAUUUUAUAGACAAACCCUAUAUUAUAAUUGUCUUUUGACAAAAUAAUAUUAUAAAAAUAUUGUUUUUGUGGGGAUUAUAAAAAUAUUCUUAUUACCAUUAUUCACUAAUAUAAAAAUAUUGAGAAAAACGUCAUUCCAUAAUUCCUCUAAAAAAGAAAACACAUUCCUUAGUUAUAGUGUAUGUUCGCUCAUGAAUUGAAUUAUAAAAUAAAUCACACUUAAUUUGAACUUAAUUUGAACAAGAUAAACGAAAUGAUAAACAUUAUAUCCUUUUUCAAUAAAACUAAUUAAUAUUAUUUAUUUGGAAAAUUAAAGGUUUUUUUUUUUUUUUUGUAACAAAGUUUGUUUUUGUUACGUGCAAAUUUAAAUUUCCAUGAAAGACAGGAUAUGAAAGUUUUUGUUACCUAUAAGGUGUGUUUGAUAUGCUAAAAAAUGAAGGAUAAAACAUAACAACUUCAGUUGUAUAAUGUUUGAUUUGUAAAACUCUUUAGGGAUAGAACAAAUUGAAGGCAAAGAACAUAACAAAAAGCGUAUAAGGCUAGAUAUUAUUCAAUACUAUAAAAUUUUGUUACGUGUUGUUCUGUCUUAUUUUGUGCUAUAUAUUUUGUUUUGAGGAGUUCUGUCCAGUUGUUACUGUUUAACAUAUCAAACACACCCAUAAUAAUGGUUUCUUGUGUAGUUAAAAUUCUAUUAUUAAGAUCAAUAACAUUGUUAAAAAUCUCAAGUGCAAAAUAUAAUAACAAUUCUAAUGGAAAAAACAAAAGACUUCGUUAAUGUUACUUCAAAAAAAAAAAAAGACUUCAUUAAUGUUAAAAAAGGAAGAAAGAGCGAGUGAUAGAGAGAGGAUCCAUCAAUUUAUUUAUUUUUUGUUUUUGGUGAAAUGACCCAUCAAUUUUACCAGUGAGAUGAGUGUAUGUAAAAAAAUAAUGAAUUUAUUGGAGAGAGGGGGUAAUGUAUCACAAUUAUUUAUUAUUGAAGAAAAGAUUAGACAUCAAAGUUAUUUGAAAGAAAGAGUGAAUGCGAGAAAAAAAAAAAUUUAUUGCUGGAUUAGAAUGAGGGUAUAAUAAAAAAAACAAAAAAGUACACUUCAUUAAUUUGAGGGUGUUAUUCUAAAAUGACACGUAAAAAGAAAUAGAUGAAAUAUAAUUAUCCUAGUAAAUAGAUUUUCAAUGAGAAGCUCGUUUUAUUCAUUUUGAGAUGGAAAAGAUAACAAAAUAUUAAAAUAAAAAAUUGAGGUUGUACCAUGUUAAACUUGUAAAUAGAACUGAGAAAUAGUUAACUUGUGCAACAAGUUAACUUGAUAUGCAAGCUUCUGCAUAAGUUAGACAUUAGAAUAAUGACAGCUAUGAGUUAGUUAGGAUUAUACACAUAACACACAUUCUCUUUUCUUCCUAGCUUCUGCAAUUUCUAUGGUUUUCAUUAUGUUGAUGAUGAACUUCAUGACAGUAUCAGAGCUAAUGCCGCUGCGAACGGUGAUGGAAAUUUGAUUCCUCUAAUUCUUGAUCAUUAUGAACAACCUAGUACUGUUUAUCAUGUUCAUCUUUUUGAUAGUCCCUCUUAUGUUGCAGUCACUCCAAUUUUAACACAUCCGAAUUGUCAUGCUAGGGCUCGAUCCAUGAGACGAGCUUUUGGAGCAAAGAACAAAUUUGAUUUUGUUGAUGGUUCUAUACAUGUUUCUACGGGGUUUGAUCCAAGUUUCAAGUCUUGGAAUCGCUGCAAUAUGCUUGUUCAUUUGUGGAAAAUGAACUAUCUUGAUGAAUCAAUUGCGCACCACAUAGUUUUUCUGGAAAAUGCAAUUGACGUUUGGAAUGAGCUAAAGCAAAGAUUUUCGUAAGGUGAUUAUAUGAAACACGGCUGAAGUUUGCUAUAAGAAACAUGAUUUUCCUCCUCAUGCUAUCUACAUUAGGACUUGUUUGGGACUUUUGAAACUUAAAAGACCACUUUGGGAAAAACGAAAAACUUAAAAGGACCUUUAGAUGCAUUUGACCUUAAUAUUUCAAUAAGUUGAAUACAGAAUUUCCAAGAUAAAGUUUAUACUUCCAGUUUCUUUUUUUAUAUAUAUAGUUUAUUUUUUAAAAUCUAUAAGGAGAAUCCAUGCUGAUAGAACGCAUAUCUGUAUGAGACAUAAAUUCUGCAGUUUCACUUAUUAAGAUGCUCUCUUCUUGAGUCUCUGGUGUAUAAACUUUUUCACUUUGUUCACAAUACUGUUGAAUAAUUUCCAACUGUUGAUGAUACUGUUGAAUAAUUUCCAACUUAUUGCCUUCAAAAACUUGGCUUGUGUCUUGUUUAACUUCUUCAACAUCAGAUUGUCCUUCAAGCAUGCUUACAACUGAUGACAUGGUUGGUCUAUGCAUCGGAGAAACACGAGUGCAUAAAAGAGCUACAUUGAUCAUGAUCAUUGCUUCCUCUUUGUUGAAAUCUUCACCUAAUCUCUCAUCAAUUAGGUCCAUUAUGUUACCUUCUUCCUUUAAGAGAUGCACCUGAUAAAGAUGAAAUACAAACUUCAAGAUAUUGUGAUGAAGACUCAAAUUGGAUAGAAGGUAUGAAGUUAUGGAUGUGUUAGUUACCCGAUCAACAAGAGAGAAGCAUUCAUCCCUUGGCCUAUUCAUGGUGUUGUGCUUCCCACUAACAAUUUCCAAGGCAACUACUCCAAAACUAUAAACAUCCACUUUCUCCGUCAAAUAUCCGUGCAUUGCAUAUUCUGGAGCCAUAUAUCCACUGCAACAUAAAAAAUUAGGUUGGAAAAUGAUAAAUACCCUUAAAAAAUUCCAUAAAAAAAAGAACAAAUUAUAUAUAGAACUCACUAAGUGCCGGCUACUCUAGUAGUUAUAUGUGUGUGUCCGUCAUCUUUAAGCUUGGCCAAACCAAAAUCCGAUAUCUUUGGAUUGAGAUCUUUAUCGAGCAACACAUUAGUUGCUUUGAUGUCCCUGUGAACUAUCUUAAGCCUCGACUCUUCAUGUAGGUAAGCCAAACCUCUAGCAAUACCGACGCAAAUUUUCUUCCUUGUCGACCAAGUCAAUUUCAAUGGACAGUUUUCUUUGGCUUCAUUUUCAAAUGUCAUAGAAAAUUAGACGACAAAAUCAUAUGGUGUGUGUACACAGAGAGACACACACAACAUUGUAGAUUAUAUUAAUGAAAGAGCUACAAAACUUGACUACAUGGAUAAAAGGUUUACCAAACAAAGCACAAUCAAGGCUAUUAUUUUCCAUGUAUUCAUAUAUUAGCAAUAACUGAUCUCCCUCCAUACAGCAACCAUAGAGCUUAACUAGACAAGGGUGUUGCAAAGCAGAAAUCAAGCCGAUCUCAUUUAUAAAUUCGCGGUUCCCUUGCUUUGAUUUAGAAGAAAGCUGCUUAACUGCUACUAUUGUGCCGUCUGAAAGAACACCCUGCAAUUACAGGAGUUUAUAUUAUAUCUCUAUAUAUGAAAGAAGUUAUAAAGAAGUCAAAACAAUAAUAGAUCUUCAAAUUUCAAAUGAAAGUGUAGAUUUUCCACAAUACCUUGUAAACAGGACCAAACCCUCCUUCUCCAAUCUUAUAGGCAAUAUCAAAGUUGUUUGUUGCUGCUUUGAUUUUCCGUAACGUAAAUAGCCCAGGUUGGAAAUCUAAACCCUUU